rnacentral:rRNA from 1 species
UACGGAGGGUGCAAGCGUUAUCCGGAUUCACUGGGUUUAAAGCGCACGUAGGCGGCUUUCUAAGUCAGGGGUGAAAUCCUGGAGCUCAACUCCAGAACUGCCUUUGAUACUGGAGAGCUUGAGUCCGGAAGAGGUGAGUGGAACUCCGAGUGUAGAGGUGAAAUUCGUAGAUAUUCGGAAGAACACCAGUGGCGAAGGCGGCUCACUGGUCCGGUACUGACGCUGAUGUGCGAAAGCGUGGGGAGCAAACAGG